CUAGGGUUUUCAAUUCCAAGUGUCUUAUAUGUCUCUGACAGUGCUUAUCAUCAUCAUCAUCAUCAACUUUUUAUUCUCUCUUAAAAAAGAAUUUCCAAGUCUUCUUUUUCUUCUCUCUUGGGUGAGGUCAGAGAGAUGUAAAACUGGAACAUCAAAAGUCAUUCUAAAACAACCUGUAGAUGGCACUAAAUUUCAUAAUUACUUGCUGUUUGUUGAAAUCAUUCUCAUAUUCUUGAAUUGAUAUGGUGAUUAAGGAAGCCAGCUAAUAAGAAAGAUGAUGAAGAGAAGUGAUAGUUUUGAAGGCUCUAAGUCAAGCUAUUCUCACAAGAAAGUCAGCGAAGAUGGUGAGGCUGAUGAGGAAGUGGACAAAAUUUGCAGCUGCAAGCUAAGAAAUGAUGGAGACACCACAAGCAAUAGCUCAGAUGAUGAAAAGAAUGAAAAGAAGGAAGGAACUUCUAGAUCUGUCCGGCAAUAUAUUCGUUCGAAGAUGCCAAGACUCCGGUGGACGCCUGAUCUCCAUCUUUGUUUUGUUCAUGCAGUUGAAAGACUAGGAGGGCAAGAGAGGGCAACACCAAAGUUGGUUCUUCAAUUGAUGAACAUCAAAGGCCUAAGCAUAGCUCAUGUGAAAAGCCAUCUUCAAGUAUAUAUUUAAAUUCAUAAAUGGAAAUUUCAAAAUUUACCUGCCAUCUUUUGCAUAGAUUAAUCAGUAAUCAUUUAUGUGACGAAUCUGAUAUAUUUUCUUUCUUUUGGGUCCUAAUUUUCAAUGUUCUUUAAUUUGUUAGAUGUAUAGAACCAAGAAGAUUGAUGAUGCUAAUCAAGGGCAAGGGCUUUUAUUUGAAGGAGGUGCUCACAAUAUCUUCAACUUUAGCCAGCUUCCCAUGCUAAAAGGUUUCAGUCAAAGGCCUUUUUCCAGUUUAAGAUAUGGGGAUGCUUGGAGAGGUCAUGAUCACCAGAUUUAUGGCCCUUUCAUAGGAGAAGGAACCACACUCAAUAGAGACAAACAAGAAAAUUAUGGCUCGGUUGCAGAUAGAUUUGUUGGAUGCAAUACUCACAAUUCACCUAAUUAUGAUUCCAAUAGCAAUAUCAAUUCUUCUUCUUCCCUCAAUGGACAAAUUCAUCAAUCUUUCGACUCGCUCAAAUCGUUUCGCAGAUACUGUCAGAUGGAAAGUUCAAAUCCAGGUUCAUUGGAUUUCAACACCAAGUUCCAAGGAAGAGGAACAGAUGUAGAAGAACAAGGAGAAGAAGCUUGUUUCAAGAAUCAUAGCUCUGGCCUGAACAAAAAUUGGAUAACAAUUCAAGAAAUGCGAAACAAGCUAAAAAGGAAGAGUUUGGAUUCAGAUUGCAACUUGGAUUUGAACUUAUCUCUCAAAGUAACAAUGAAAGAUGGGAUUGAGAAGGGUUUGAAGGGUGAUCAUGAUAAUGAAGUUGAUAGCAGUUUAUCUCUUUCCUUAUCUUCAUCUUCUUCUUCGAAGCUUAGUGGGUUAAAGCAUCAAGAUGGAAGUAGGAAGCAUACAAGAAGGGCAAGUACUCUAGAUCUGACUCUAUGAAUAAGACAAAAUUCCAAGUGAGAUCUUGAGGUACUUGUCCAGAAGCAGUGCUCAAAAUGAUCAUGUCGUAUUUGUAUCAGAACAUUACAAGAGGUAAUUAUUAGUCAAUUAUAUAAUUUUUUUUUUAUCUUUUUAUUUGGUUGCUUGUGUGCGGAUACAAGCUUGUAGGAUUCAAUUUUGGUUAUACCAAGAAAUUAAUAUAUAUAUUAGAUGAUGAAUAUAUUUUUAGCACUACAAAAUAUGCACAUUGGGUUCUGGGUAUUGUUUUCAGAGUU
rnacentral:misc_RNA from 1 species